AAGCGGCAACAGCUCAUAUUUGAAAUCUGGCGCUCUUUGGCGUCCGAGUUGUAAUUUGCAGAGGGCGCUUUGGCAUUGGCAGCGGUCCAAGUUCCUUGGAACAGGACGUCACAGAGGGUGAGAAUCCCGUACGUGGUCGCUAGCCUUUACCGUGUCAAGCCCCUUCGACGAGUCGAGUUGUUUGGGAAUGCAGCUCUAAAUGGGAGGUAAAUUUCUUCUAAAGCUAAAUACUGGCCAGAGACCGAUAGCGCACAAGUAGAGUGAUCGAAAGAUGAAAAGCACUUUGGAAAGAGAGUUAAAAAGCACGUGAAAUUGUUGAAAGGGAAGCGCUUGCAGCCAGACUUGCCUGUAGUUGCUCAUCUAGGUUUCUACCUAGUGCACUCUUCUAUAGGCAGGCCAGCAUCAGUUUGGGCGGUUGGAUAAAGGUCUCUGUCAUGUACCUCUCUUCGGGGAGAACUUAUAGGGGAGACGACAUGCAACCAGCCUGGACUGAGGUCCG
rnacentral:rRNA from 1 species